rnacentral:lncRNA from 1 species
AUGGGCAGGAUAUCACUAUUGGACUGUCUAACCUGCAGGAGCAGCACUGAAUAACCACUACACAUGAGCAUGUUCCUGCAACAUUCAGCAGCUCUGCUUUUGUGUCAAAUGUCUAACAGCUGGAGAGGAAACUACACCAGUGUACUGGGAUGUUUCAGCAACACGUGCCAGACGCUGUUCCUUCAUGGUGACAUCACCAGAGACAGCCCCGCCCACCUCAGGACCUCGCCAUUGAUCAUGAUGAUUAUAAUGAUGACAGCGAGCAGAACUAAGACUGUAAAAAUCAGAAUAUUUAGAUGCUUUCUAAUUAUUAAUGAAUACUGAGAGCCUCUUUCUGUGUUUUGUCUGUUUUUUUUUUUUUUUACCUCAUUUGUUACUAACAAAGUUCACCAAACUCACACAGUUUACAUUCUGUAUGUUUCCAUCUUUACCAGCCACACUCUACCUGCAAUUAAGCAAAUAAUCCUUAGAAAUCCUCGUUUUUCUCUUUUGUAAUUGAUGAUAAUUCAGUGAAUAUACUGCGCUGCUUCCUUUUAUUGCGUCACACAUUGCUUUAAGUUUUUCCAGUGUCCAGUUAUUUUUUACUGCUGUUUGAAUUCUCUGCAUGUUUGACCCUGUAGACUGUUUGAUGGACUGCUUGUCUUCCUGUUUGUAACCGCCGCCUGUUUUUGACUAAAGAUUUGGAUUUCUGACUUUAACACAGCCUCUGCGUGUCCUCCCUUUGUGUCCUCUUCCUCUGUGAAUGUGUUGCAUGUGUCACAGAUUCAUUUUAUUAACAGCUUUCCCACAGUCAGUUGCAUCAGCAUUCAUUCACAGCACAUUGCAGAAGGAUUCAGAUUAAUACAGUGAUCUUAUAGUCAGAAUUAUCCUGACAGACUGUAAAUUAUCUUUCAUCAGGUCAAUUUUAAAGUUCAGUAUUUCAAAGCAGGAGUUAUGAAGAAUCAUACUGGCAUUAGGACUGUAACAAUAUGUACUUACAAAGUCAAAGUUUUUUAAUUAUGCUAGAAUAUUGGAAGACAAUCAACUUUUAGUGUUUUCUGCAUAUUAAUUAUUCUGAAAUAGAGAUGGUGACCCUAACUGUACAGAAGCACUAAACAACUGACAAUCUAACAAACAUUAUUGGCCUGAGCCGUCAUGCACAGUGAGUCUGAUCCUGUGCUGUGAGAGUCUGACAAGCAUGUUUCUGGUCAGUUUGGAAGAAAUAAUAUCACAAUGUUGAUCUUUUUUUAAUAUUCCUUCUCUUUUACAACAUAAACUGUGAUCAAAGCUACUUAUGUUCACAGCAUGUAAUAAUACUGACAGUCCAGGGCAUUGUGGUCUGUUGAGCUAGGGUUAGGGUUAGCAAUUCAGACAUAUGUAAUCAAUCUCUUACUGGAUAUAACAAA